UACGAAGGGGGCUAGCGUUGUUCGGAAUCACUGGGCGUAAAGGGCGCGCAGGCGGCCAUUCAAGUCAGAUGUGAAAGCCCCGGGCUCAACCUGGGAGGUGCAUUUGGGACUGGAUGGCUUGAGAUCGGGAGAGGAGAGUGGAAUUCCCAGUGUAGAGGUGAAAUGCGUAGAUAUCUGGAGGAACACCGGUGGCGAAGGCGGCAUCCUGGACCAACACUGACGCUGAGUGAGCGAAAGCCAGGGGAGCAAACGGG
rnacentral:rRNA from 1 species